rnacentral:lncRNA from 1 species
AGCAACAUGGGCAAAUUUGUUGCGAACACGAUCGUUUGCAUCUCUUCGUCUUUCCUUUCUUCUGAGUUGAGCAGAACCUCCACCCCGAUAUGCCUGAGUAGAUCGGUAGGUAUCCCAUUUCUUGUGCCUUUCUGUGCUGUAUCUCCUAUACUAACUCUCUUUCCUUUUCUUAAACUCGAACAAUGGGAGGAUCCAACUGUAGAAAUUGUGGUUCUCGAUCUUCUCUUCCUUGUUCUGUGAGAUCUCAAAUUUUUAGUAAGAUCUCGUUCCGUGAGUAAAGCACCCUUGUAUACAUGUCAUCCAGCAUGGUUCAUAUGAAACAAAAAAUCUUUGAGGGAAGAUUUAUUAAGUGUCCAUGACACUUCACCAUCUGCAGAUAUAAUUAAUGUUCACUCAAACUAGGUCCGAGCAACAUAGUCGAUCACUAUAUGUUGUGUUGGUUCAUCUGAUGUUGUUAUUACAGAUCAAGUUACUGGUCGUCUGAUUGCCGUGGAGCAUAUCCAAGUUCUUACUAUUUGCUUCUUCUUUUAAAAAAAUAAAUUAAAUUGACUCAGGCUUGCACCGAUUUUAUUAUAAACAAUAUAAAAGAGGAACAAGGUCUGGCCGACCCAAUAUUGAGCGCCCCUAGUAAGUAGCCGAUAAAACUUGACAACAAGUGUCUAGAAGGCUCUAGAUAGCCUUAAUCCUUGUAUGUAUCUCCUCUCCGAGGUUAGGGAAGUAACUCUUCACUUAUGUGCCGUCGGCAGUCAUUUGCAUCUCCUCAUCUCUUCGUUCACCUGAGCUGAGCAGAAGCUCCACCCCGAUGUACCUGUGUAGAUCGGACGUAUCCCCUUUUCAGUGCCUUUCUGUGCUAUAUCACCUUUACUGACUCUCUUUCCUUUUCUGAAACUCAGACGAUGGGAGAAUCCAUCUGUGGGAAUGAUGCUUCUCGAUCUUCUCUUCCAUGCUCUCUGACUCGUUCUGUGAGUAAAGCACCCCUGUAUUUUGCUGAAACACUCUUUUGGUAUUUGAGUCCAUUGUACACUCCACAUCCCCUCAGUUGUUCUGAUCCCUAAUGAUUGACGAUGCUGAUAAUGACUAUCACUGGUAGUAAUGUGCCUUUUGUUGCUGAAGAAAAGCUGUGUAUAUAAAUGUUUGAUGAUUCCUUUGUCUGUAUUGAUUCCGUAAAGAUUAUCCAUUGUUCCUUGCCUCUGUGCUAUGUAAUCGUACUAUGUAUGUUGCUUCUCCUUUUCCCCUUUCCCUGCUGUCAAUAAUUCUCUCUGUCUUGAUUCCUAGUGUUGAUAUUUGUUGUUUAUCUAUGUUAACAAUCUUUCUAGCUAAACUUGGUAGAUCAGUAAAUGAGUUAAACUCAAGCCUACCUGUGUUUUCAAAAGCCAGGUUAACUAAAAAGUCAGCCAGUUCAUUUCCUUCUCUAAAAAUGAAAUACUGCCUUGACACAUUUGAGAGAUGCUCCUUAUAUCCUCAACUAUCACUGCUAUAUUCCAUGGCACUUCCCACACCAUAGUACGAAUUUUGUGUAGCAUGAAGGAGUCUAUUUCCAGACAUAUUUGAUUUAAAUCCCAAUGCUACACAGUAUAUGAAUGCCAGUGCUUCCCUUAUAACAAUAGCUUCCGCCUCUAUAGUCUGUAUUAGUAACUUUUUGAAUUUCUUCUCCCUGUGCAUACACUAGAUCUCCUGUAUAAUUCCUUAACAAAAACUGUAAGUGCUUCUGCCUGGAUUAACUCUGGAUGCACCACUUGUGUUGCAUUUAAUUCUAUCGCUUUGUGGUGGAUGCCAAAUGACUGGAUAGUAGAAUAACCUUGGGGUAUAAGUCUCUAAAUAUCCCAGAAUAUUUGGUCAACCUGUGGGUAGUAUCUGUGUGAGCCUCUGGAUGUCGGUGUUUAUUUAUACUAGGCUGUUGUAGGAGAGACUCCUUCCAUGCUUUAGGUUUUUCCCCAUCCUCAACUAUUUACUUCUUUGAUUCCAAAAUUACUACUUUCUUUUAAAUUUGUAAAGAAAAUCUUUUGGUACCAACUAUGGAUUUGAAGUAUCAGGUUCCAUCUCAUCUGAAUACUAGUAAUUGAAGCAUUUAUGCAGGCCUCGUUUAUAUCCUGCAUGUUUAAAUAGAAUAAUCAUUAUCUUGGACAUAAUUUGAUUUUGUUUUGGUUCUAAUUCUCCAAGUUGAUAUAGAUUAAAAGGUGUAUCCGAGUAGUUUGAAUUAUCCUUUUCCCGAGUUUUAUGUAAUCAUAAUUAUCAUGAAGUUAUGAAUGAUGAGUAAUUUGGUGUCCUUGCAGGUUUCUGUUGGUACUCUUCCUUUAAAUCCAAGUACAUAUGAAGUGGAAAAUUGAAGUCUUGCAACCACGUCUUGUUUGUUGUUCUUGUUUCUGCGUCAGCAUUUGUCCUUCCUAUUAUUUUUUGUGUUAUACUUUGAAGCAAAAAAAAAUGGACAUGCUACAUGUUUCUGUUGACAUCUCGCCUAUCCAUUUUUUGUUUCAAAGUAUAAUCAAAGAAGAAGAGGAAACACAAAUGUUGAUGGAGAAACAAGAGUAGCAAACUGGACGUGGUUGCAAAGAGAUUGAGGUAUAUUAAUGCAGAUGUUAUUCCCCUUUAAUGCUUGAUACGCAUUUAAUGCUUCCGACGGCCUCAACAUAAGGUGAGUUGUUUUCUACUAGUGAUACAAGAAUAAUCACGAAUAUGGUGCGCGUUGGUCCCGAGACUUGGUGUGUGCAAUUGAAGUGUAGAAGAGGCCCAAAACACACCAAAAUCAGCCUAUAACUUACACUUGAUGGGCAGCCCACUCUUUGAAGGCCCUUUUGAUCAUUUUAACUUAUAUCUUGUAAUAGCUAUAUAAAGAACAAUGUAGGGUUUUAUUUACUUAGUUUAUGAAUGGAGUUGUAAGUCUUACAAGACAAAGAAACACAAAUCCUCUUUCCUUGAGGCACCCAAAACCGAAAUUAGGGCUUAGACAAAUGUAGAAUCACUUGUGUUUGCAUUUGCUUGGAAACAUUGAUGCUUGGGAGGUGGAUUCCGAUCUUGUGUCUUUGUAAGAGAUAGGUUUAUUGUUGUGUGUAGUGUUAAGGGUCCAAGAGUUACCAUUCUUGGGUUCUUAACAUUAUACCUUC